ensembl:lncRNA
CCUGAGUCAAGCUCAAGUAAACCACGCAAACCAAGCAAGAAAAGUUGUACAAACCAACAGGAUAAUUAAAAGUUUGGUUUAUUGCUGUAUUCAUUUUCUCUUACAGCUCAAAGUCGGGCCAAUGAACGGCAUUUGCAGAGACUAUGCGCCUGGGAAGAGCUUCAGCUUUCAGAUCAGAGGUGACCCGGGUGCAAAAGUCAGCCUGGUGGCUGUGGACAACGCUGUGUAUCUUCUCAACGAGGACAGACUCACACAGAGGAAGAUUUGGGACGUGGUGGAGCAUGGAGACAUUGGCUGCACCCGUGGGGGAGGAUGAGAUGCUCAGGGGGUGUUUUCUGAUGCAGGACUGCUUUAGGACUGCUUUAGGACUGCUUUACUCCUCCAGUACCGGGUUCAAAACUACAACCAGACAAACCGUGCAGUGUCCAGGCAGUACCAGAAGGAGACGCUCUGCUGAACUGUUGAAGCGUAAAGCUCAGCUGGUUGCCUGCUAAUCUUGAUUUGGAAGUAGAGGCUCGAGGAAAUGGACAAGGAAUACUAGAGUACAGGGAAAGACGACCACGGGUUGUGACCUAUUACAAUCAGCUGCAUGAGGUGGAAGAGAAAAUGCCCUGCAAGCACUUUGAUCUCAACGUCACUUUUGAAGGAUCCAGCGGGCUCUAGGACCCAGAGACGUCAGGAUGGUGGUUCUUGAUAUCAGUCUACCAACUGGAUUCACCCCAGAAAACUCUGACCUGGAG